rnacentral:misc_RNA from 1 species
UAGCAUGCAUAACAUUUGUACCUGCAAACAAAUACAUGAUUUGCAAUUAUCCAUUUAAAUCAGGCCAAGAUAAGAAUUAUAUGUCUUUCUGCAAAGAAAUUCAUUUAAUCUCUGAAAUUUCAUAUGGAAAAUGCUGGAAAUUUUCUGAUGGGUGGAUAUGCAUUACUGACACUGCAUGAUGAUAUGCUCAGCAAUGUUUUACUCUAAUAAAGGCAUUUCUGCAAUUGGGUUUACAUCCUAUAGGUAAGUUACCAUAAUGGUACUCACCAAGGUUAGUCUACCUGGAUUAAUCAAAACGAACACUACCUUAGAGUAGAAUAUAGAGGACGGCUAAAAUGAUGAUUAUGUUACAGAAUUGUAUGCUGGGGAACACUAGCUCAGAGAAAACGAUAAUUACAUUCACAAACACAAAGCGAAAACCAAAGAGAAAAUUCAAUUCCUUUUCCACAUUUUCGCUUCAAACCAAGCAACAAGCACUUAAAGAGAGAGUGAUGAACCUUGUGGUUAGGGCUUUUGUU